GAAGAUGGCGACGGCCUUGAGCGAGGAGGAGCUGGACAAUGAAGACUAUUACUCGUUGCUGAACGUGCGCAGGGAGGCCUCUUCUGAAGAGCUGAAAGCUGCCUACCGGAGGCUCUGUAUGCUCUACCAUCCAGACAAGCACAGAGACCCAGAGCUCAAGUCACAGGCGGAACGACUGUUUAACCUUGUUCACCAGGCUUAUGAAGUGCUUAGUGACCCCCAAACCAGGGCCAUCUAUGAUAUAUAUGGGAAGAGAGGACUGGAAAUGGAAGGAUGGGAGGUUGUGGAAAGGAGGAGGACCCCUGCUGAAAUUCGAGAGGAGUUUGAGCGGCUGCAGAGAGAGAGAGAAGAGAGGAGAUUGCAGCAGCGAACCAAUCCCAAGGGAACGAUCAGCGUUGGAGUAGAUGCCACUGACCUUUUUGAUCGCUAUGAUGAGGAGUAUGAAGAUGUGUCCGGCAGUAGCUUUCCGCAGAUUGAAAUUAAUAAAAUGCACAUAUCCCAGUCCAUUGAGGUAAAGCACACAACCACCUCUCCGAGUACAGCAAGGGCUCGAGUUAAUGAGGCACAGCACACCAAGCAGCUGGAAUGAGAGUCUGCCCAGGGUUUUUCUCAU
rnacentral:sRNA from 1 species